rnacentral:misc_RNA from 1 species
GAAUAUUUCAAAAGUUCAUCUUGAAAUAUUCAUGAAAAGUUUAGUUUAACCUAUUUCUCGUUAACGAGAUAAAGACUGUUCAGCGUCGUGGAGAGGGAAAUUUACGGUUUAAAUUUAGCGCAAUGUUGGAAUACACAACUUAACAAAAUUGUUGCAAAAAUUUUCAAAGUCAAAGUUAAAGUCAAAAGUACGCUAUCGUUUUGAUUUGAAAGAAAAACCAGCCAAAUUUGUGUUUGUUACAACUGGUAAGUUAGAAAUAUAUUGAGGUCGCUUCAAGUCCUAAGGCUGAAAUGUUAAGUCUGUUAGAGCAAAGACACUACAUGUGGGCCAUUGUUUUACUCUUCGUGAAUGUGAUUUGUAUCAAAGUGGAUGGCAGGUACAUCAACAAGUUAAAUAAAGAGAAAAAGACAUCUGGCGAGGACAAAGAGUUUGAAAAACUGGAGAAGAGGCAACAAAUUACGGGGGAGUUAGAAAUUAAUGGCCAACGGUUUGAAAGUUUGGGUUGCUGGCGAGAUGCAUGGGCGCGGGGCCUACCAACAAUCGAAGGAGAACAUUAUCUUUUAAUGGAUCCCAAUUACAAAGGCAGAAGGCAUGCUUUGUAUAAAUGUGCAAGGGCGGCUCUCGAUAAGGGACGUAAAAUAUUCGGCAUCGAGAACGGAGGCCAGUGCUUUGCGAGUUCUGUUGGGGACAAUGAAUAUCGCAGAUAUGGAGCUUCUAAAGACUGUAGAGGUGAUGGUAAAGGGGGGCCUUGGAGUUUACAAGUAUAUCGUUUUGUAGACCCAAAGAAGUCUGUCAACGGCGAGUAUAGCCCCUGGUCCUCUUGGACUGAAUGCAGUAAGUCGUGUGGCGGUGGAGUUAGAAGGCGCAUGCGUAAAUGCUCAAAUCCACCUCCGUCCAAUGGCGGAAAAGAUUGUAGGAACUUGGGUCCCAGUAUAGAGAGUCAAGAUUGCAACGUUAAAGUUUGCAAAGUUUCAGGGAACUUUGGACUUGGAACUCCAGAGUUUCACAUUUCAAAACCUUCUUACCAGAAUGGCAACCAAGCAGGACGUCACGUGCGACAAUUUGCAGGUCCUAGCGGACAAAUUUCAUCGAAGGAGAGACAAAAUGCAUUUCGCGGAGAGCAAGAAGAACAGACUCAUCAUGUACAACAAAUAGAACAAUAUCCUAAUCAAGAUCAAGGAAACAAUUUUAACCUUCAUAGCUCCCUUAAAAAAGCGGAGAAAUAUGUCCCAAUAUCUCGAGAGGAUUUCAAAAAGAUUGCCUCGUUUCAAAAAUCUGUAUCCACUUCUAGUCAGUACCCUACAAAUGGCAAAGGAAAAUAUUCUAAUGAAUCACCUAGUGUGCCGAGAAAGAGCGUUUCGUUCGAGGUAAACACUCCAAAGCAACCAAUGCGUCUUUCAUCAAAUCCUAAAGCACAAAGAAACAUGGAAGAACACAAUGUAAAUUUGUAUGAGGGGUCAAAACCUUUUGAUGCAGACAAUUCUAAUAAGGAAAAGUUUUCCAAUGGAGCAGCUUCUUCGAGAUUGAAUAAUCCUUCAAUGAAUCAUGUUGGGCCGGCUGCAGAUGACUUCCUGAUUCCCAAAUUAAAAACGCCUUUAACAAAUGAACACUAUGAUGACAAAGAUCAAAAGAGACCAGCCAUAUUGGAAACUGACAAAAUGAAUGCAGCCGAAAGCUCGCGAAAUUCAAAGGGGUUUAGCCUGGUUGGCCAGUCACUAGAAACAAUGAAAACCGAUACUUCAUCGGAUAACUUGGUUAGUCCUCACGAUAAACACUACUUUGACCAUCUUCAUGACUCUGCAAAGGAGAGUGGAAAACUGGAGAAUAAACCCAGCGGAUACCAUGUAACAACAGAAUUAAAAAACAGUAAGGAGACAGAAGCUCACAAUACUCAACAACAGGACACGGAGAUAAAGCAGAGAAAACCCACAAGGUUCAAGGAAAACUUACAAAAUGAAAAGGGAAAAGAAAUGCACCAAUCUCUAUCUGCACUUCCAAAGAAGAGGCCAAUGGAAUCAGGGUUCACUUCGAUGUCCUCCAAAGACACAGACAUGUCACCCCAUCGGAAAUUGUCUAGCAAAGAAAAGCAGGCAUUCGGGCAGAAAGAAAGAGCCACUGAACCGACAUCAAGUAAAUUACAAGGGGCGUACGUCGAACACGGGGAACGAGCUGAGGGACCAGUUGGUGACUCGCACCAUGUUUCUACAACAGGAGAUGCUCUGUCUAUGACCAAAGAGAAGGCCAGUUUUGGAAUAGAUUCACAGAGAGCAGAGAAAAAUCCUAAAUCCCUGCAUGACGUCGGAACAACUUUACAUGAAAAAUAUCCUCCACAGGAAGAACUGUCAAGCAAACCCUUUGCGUCGAGUAAGGGACAAACACUUCAAUCAAAUGGAGGAGGUGAAAGAAAUGAAAAACAGGAGUCAGAUCAAGAGCAGUCAUCAUAUGAAGGUGAACCAGUGCCUAUGGUGGACUUAAACAAAGGCGCUUCAAUGGGAGGAAUGGAUUAUGGGCCGGCGAAUGGAGAGGAGUCUUUAAGUCCUGGGGUGGACAGUACAAUGCAAAAUCAUGAAGGUGGUACGGGGGAAGAUUAUGGACCAGAAAAUGAAGAGUCACCCAUAGCAGAUGCCAGCCAGCAGUCAAGACCGGUUUUUGACAAUGAAGCCAUUCAGGGAAUAACUGAUCUUUCUCAGGGAGAGGAUGCACGCAUAAUACAACAAGCUAACUCUGAAGGCCAGGCAGGUCCCGAUGGAGGCAUGGGAUUCGCAUAUGAAGACUCUAGCAUGCCACAAGCGUACACAGGAGAAACUUCCAAAGAGCAAGUUCAAGAGGAAGUUGAAAAGAAUAGGGGUGAGGCAGCAAUGAAUCAACGCCAUUCUAGUUCUGGUUUAGAAAAUAAAGAACAGUCCCAGGAAAAAAUUGAAACCAGUCUUACGUCGAACGACUAUACUUCAGAGCCAGCGGAAGAUUGCUUGUGUCCAAAGAAAGAGUGCUCCGCCAAAGCAGACGUCGCCUUUCUUGUAGAUGGCUCUGGCAAUAUCCCCCAGCCAUACUAUGCUCGUGUUCUGGAAUUCAUCAAGAUCUUCUCCCGUGGAUUUGACAAAAGAAACACCCACAUUGGAUUAAUGGCUUUUGGCGAUGAUGUUAAAACAGCUCUUGAUCUUAAAGGACUCAGCGACUUUAGACAAUUUGACGAUGCCGUUAAUAUCGCGCCGUAUAUCGGAGGGAAAGCCUACACAGGAAAUGCCCUCUUGCAAAUGAAAACGAAUCUCUUUGCCAUUUCCGGUCGUCAAGAUGCUCCGAGGGCCCUUAUUCUGUUAUCAAGUGGUGGUUCAGCGGACGAUGUAAUUGCACCUGCAGAAGAGCUGAGAGAUACUGGAGUCAAAGUUACCGCCAUUGGCCUGGGUAAACAAGCCAAUGUCAGGGAACUGAUAAACAUUGCUUCAGAGCCAAAGUCAGAACACGUUUUCACCGCUUUCUUAGACACUUUGCCAAAUGCAAUGGAUGAUAUCAUUCAGGAGGUUUGUAGAGAUGUUAUGGGGAUAGUUCGAGACAGACAAGUUCCUUGUACCUGUGAGACGAACAACGGCCAGGUUGGGCGUUCCUCUAAUUACAUGAAAGACACCUCUGAAACCGGAGCGGUACCUACAGACUCAAACCAUCAUUAUGAGCGAUAUUCUCAAAAAGAUAAGGAGUCAGAGACUGACAAGAGGCCCCUUUCCCAGGAAGAACCAAUUACUGAAGGCUUUCAAUCCACAGGAGGACCAGGAAUAGCAGAUCAGCAGGCUAGGCCGGCAGGUGGUAAUUCAGAGAGGCAAGCAGAAAUGACCUCUAGUGGACUUCACCCCUCCAAAAUUAGUUCUUCGAACGAUCAGGAGAAUCAGAACCCGCUUGUUUCCUCGGGAGAACUUAGUCAAGACGAGGAGGCGUUACAUUCUCAAACCCUACUAUCUCCGCCCCUCGAGAAUAAAAAUGGAGCUGUGGAUGAAACCUCAAAGGUUUCGUCGACAAAUUCAGAUGAGAAUCGUGGAUUCCAAAGCCAUCAACGAAUGGAAAGCGUUCAAGAUAGCCAGAAUAACGGGACUCUAGGCCCUUUACGCGAUGCAGGGGAGCAGCCCUUUGCCGCUGGAGUAAAGGAGAAUUAUCAGUCCCAGGACAAGGACGACUCAGGCAUUGCACAACCAUUUAAUCAAAGUCAAGCAUUACACGGAUUCCAUGGUUCUCCGGGUGAUUCGUUUAAAACAACAGCACUCAACACCGAAAGAGUUCAGGGAACCAGUCUUCGUUUACGUCCAGGCACUGAAGCGCUUUCUAAUGAGGACAUCAGCAGUAAAGCUUUUGAGCGGCCAAAUUAUCCUGAAGGCUACUCCAAUGAAAAAUAUGAGCCAUCACCGGAAUACAAAGUGCCUUCAAAGAUUAUGGCUGUCGGAAAAGCUGCAGAAAACUUUAAGGCCGAAGGAGAAAAACAAAAUAGUCAUGAUUGCGGUAAGGUUCACCUCGGAGUAGUCUUGGAUAGUUCAUCUUCCCCCGAAGGUCGUGGUACGCAACAGGCAGCAAAGAUGAUGGAUUUGUUGAAACGAGUUUCCCACUUAUUCCCUGCUUCUCCUCAAGGUAACAGUGUCGGUAUGGUGGUGUACGGAGGCUCACCACAACCGUCCGUGGUACACUUCGACAAAUUCCUCGAUCAGGAGAGCAUGGAUCAAGCUAUUGAUAACGCUAGUAUUCCAAACCUUGAGAUACGAAUAGGAAAGGCGCUCACAGUGGCUCAAAAGCAGCUGUUUAGUCAGCCUGCUACGUCAAAACACAAGGCGCUGCUUCUGGUAACCGACGGAUUUUCAUCUGAUAACGUCAGUCGACCCGCCAUUGAACUUAAAAGGCGAGGUAUCGAGGUGUUCUGCCUUGGCGUAGGUAACAAUGUCAAUCAAACACAACUUGAUAUCAUCGCAUCCGAACCCAAGAACAGUCACGUGUUCUUAGCUCCAUUUAAUGAUGCUGCUGUAUUCAUGGGGAGAAUUCAAAAAGAAAUAUGUCAGUCCGCGAGAAGGGCAGCUCGAUUACAGACCCAGAGAAAGUGCCAUUCCGACCUCGGAUUUGUUAUCGAUGGUGCAAGGAGUGUCGAGGUUCUUGGAAAAGGAAACUUCAAGAAAAUGCUGGACUUUGUUAAAAAUGUUUCUUUAGGAUUUCACAUUUCACCUGAAGCAACUCGGGUGGGGGCCAUUACUUUAGGAACUGAACCCACAUUGUCAAUUCCUUUCGAUAAAUAUUCUCUCCCUCGGGAUUUAGCCCUCGCUGUAGAGAACAUUAAGUAUCCUGGAACCGUUACCAUGACAGGAAAAGCUUUGGCCUUAGCCGGUCAAAAGUUGUUUGAUAAAGCUAGUCGGAUAAAUGUCCCCAAAGUUCUUGUUGUGCUAACACGAGGUACUUCACGGGACAAUGUUCAACCUUCCGCUCAAGCGCUUCACAGAGCAGGAGUGACGGUCAUUUCUGUGGGUCUGGGUCCAGUUUACAACACGAAUGAACUUAGUGAUAUCGCUUCAAUACCAGCUGCUUACCAUGUGAUUAAGACUAAAUUUAAUGAGCUACAAGAUAAAGUAAUUGAGUUGCAGGAUAAAAUAUGCCAAGCAAAGCUUAACCAGCAAAGCAGACAUGAUAACUAAUUCUGUUAAUAAUAAUGAUACUUGGCUAUGGUUGAUACCCAAUUAAAUCAUAGCAAUAUCCUUUCAGCCUUUCCCUAAACAUCUCACCUUUCGAGCAUUUUAUGAUAGGAAAGUUAACGGCAAAGUUUAGGCGAUGCACUAUAUAGGUGCCCCUUUAUUUUAGUAGGAUCGUUAACUUCAAAAGUACAUUAGCUCCAGUUUUAAACAUUCUCAGUAACUUUUUCCACUACCAAGUUUGCACAGGUUUUUUUUUUGCAAGCUUUGGAUAUAACUUAACAUGUGAUCGCUGCAGCCCGAUUCGUUUUGUAACCCGGUUUAUACCCGUCAUUAGGCAGUGAACAAGCAUUAAUCUUUUCUAGAAGAUUGUUAAGCGAUGAUCACAGGUGAUGUUUUUGGUAUUUUCUGGUAUUCGUAAAACGCAGAAUUAGGACUGACAUUACAAAACACAUUUCAAACAAAGCAGUUUAAAGCAGCUAAAAUCUUUUCAUACUAUGGACCAAGUAAACUUCGUCUUUCGUAGUGAGUUUUCCACUUCUCCAUCCUUUGACGUCUUUAGUAUAGUCUGAUUUAUAUCUUUUGUGUUUCGCAAUCUUGCCAAGAAAGUAACUUUUGGAUUUCUUCUGACUAAAGACUCGAAGAUGUCUUUGUUUUCUUACUUGUUUAUCCUCUACAUCCUUCCAAAGAUGUUGAACUCCUUUAAAUCUGGACUUUUAAACCUGUGGAUCAGGAGGUAAUUUGCUCAAAUUCUCUGGGUAAACCUGAGAGAGGACGGGUCUGCAUUUUGCCCAUCUUUUGUUAACCAGUGUGAAUCUCAACACAGAUAUCUUUUUGACGAAUUCCAAGACUUGCAUGAACAGAUAAGGAAGAGAUCUUUAGAUACACAAACAAGACAUCGAACUUUUCAUUUGACGGGGUUUAGGAAAAGUUGACAGUAACAAGCGAAGAGCCCAACAUUCCUAAAAGAAGAGGAAACCUGUAUCAUUUCCUGGCUGAAGUCGCUCACU